ACUUGUCGCCAUGAACAAAUGUGUAAGAAAAUUAGUAUCUACCAGCAAGAAGUAAAGUGAUAGUUUUCUCCAGAAUAUGAAAAAUGGAGAGUAAGUCUGAAAAAACGAUAAAGAAUUUCGUUAGGCAGGUUUCGAUCAAGGACGGUUAUCUGAGGAUCACCUUGCCCUGAUCUUUCACUUUAAUCUGACCCGUGGAAGAGGCAGGAGUUGUCCGUAAUUUCGACUCGCGACGUGAUUGGAAGUAAAGAUAGGCAGUGAUAGAACAUUUCGCUUUUUGAAAGUGCUACCCGUGUGCGACCGCAGUUCGUGCCUGCAAGUGUGCUGCGAGAGAUUCGCCACGGAACACGUCAUCGACAUCCUGCUACAUUGUCAGCGACUUCUUCUGACCCCACCGUCAGCUUCAAGGUUUCCCGGCCCGCUACAACGCCGGACGAGGGUAGCGUCAUCAACGUUGCGCCCUGUACGGGAUAGGCUGGCCGAACAGCAAUCGGCAGCAUCCAACACACAGCAAACAACUAGCAUCGAGUGAGACUACUAGCGUCGAGUAGAAAGCAGCCAAUUUCGCACGCCGUGCGUCGUCAGCAGCAGGAGUAAAUUUCGGGAUCCGCGUGGCGCGGAUCAGCUAGAUCGCGUAUUGCCCAGGAUAGCGAUGGCGACCCCGCCAUUUUGUUGUUAAACCUCAUGGACCACCAAGCAGUGACGGUAAACCUCAAGUAAACCCCGGGUAUUGAGUGAGUACUCUUUUUUUGAAUUGUUGUCCAUGCGCAUGUGACUAUUAUACGGGCCGUGCCCCUAACCGAACCAACAGCAGCCGGUUGGUAGCAUCCCACCGCACCGCACAUUGAACGUACGUUAUCUUGCACACACCGCUAGCUAGAACAGAAGAAAGAUGGGAAAGGAUAGAUUGAAAUAGGCCUAGGGAAAACGUAUUGUAAAUCUCGAAUGAAUAAACUGCACAGUGUC